CUGUACAUACUGGACAAACGGAUUCCAUUGGCUUCAAUAACACGUUUGUUGUCUAUAAUGGGAGGUGGCCACCACCGCCAUUUUGACCGUGUCACAGGUUCCGUCCAGCCCAGACAAUUCCAUAAAAGGGAAGAGAGGAGGCGCUGAGGGUGUGGCUGUAAAGCUGGGCUCGAGUGACGACACCCAGGCGAACUAGCUACGAGCUAACCUGAAGCUAACCCUGGCUAACCCAAAGCUAAAGCGGAGGUGGGAGCCGAGCUAACGGAUGUAGCCACCUAGCUUCAACCCAACCGGAGCUAACUGGAACACCCAUCGACCUGAACCUCACACGGAGUUUAGGUGGAGGUUUUCUGCGCCUGUUCGUGAGAAGUACCUGUAUUAAAAAAGUUUUAAAUCGAUCUAUUAAAAGGUCACCAUGGCAGCCUGUGUGUCAACGUCAGCUACACAAAGCAGCAAGUGUAAGUACCAAGUACUUGUCUUGACCACUUCAUGAAUGGUUUUGUACUUUAAACAGCUAGGCCAAACCUGUUAUUUUUUCCUCCAUAGCCAUUUGGAUCAUUGGAGACAGCUACGUGAGGCGUGGUGCCCAGAGAGCUGCAGAGACAACCUUGGCCUCCCUGACGUCUGUGUCUCCUGGUUUGGUUGGGGCGGACCAUCGACAUACAUACAUGUGCCGACACUUUGCGCCCUGUUUUAUAAACUGUAGUGUUAAAAAUAAAUGUUUUUGCUCAA